rfam:Gorilla gorilla gorilla genomic chromosome, chrX, whole genome shotgun sequence
GCCGGGCAUGGUGGCACAUGCCUGUAAUCCCAGCUACUCAGGAGGCUGGGGCAGGAGAAUUGCUUGAACCCAGGAGGUGGAGGUUGCAGUGAGCCGAGAUUGCGCCACUGCACUCCAGCCUGGGUGACAGAGCAAGACUCUGUCUCAA